rnacentral:tmRNA from 1 species
UUUCUUGCGUUUCCGUAAAUCCGCCCUUAUAAUCACAGCGUCGGGAUUUCCCGACUAUGAUGCUAAACGCCUUGUGGAAUAGGCGUAGCGGACCCGGGGGCGGUACCCGGCGCCUCCACCAUGCGGGGGCGAAACAGGAUCGACGCGCGUAGUAAAGGUAAGGUUUGCAUCCGGCAUUGUACCACCGUUAUCGGGCUGAAACUUUAAAUGCGAAUGAUAAUCGCACUCAGGUUGCUUUGGCUGCGUAAUGCGGUCGAAAAACCGAACUUAAUCCCUGCGGCUUGAGCGCCGUUGGUGGGGCGGGGACUUGCCUAGCAACAGAAGUGUCCCGUU